UACAGAGGUCUCAAGCGUUGUUCGGAUUCAUUGGGCGUAAAGGGUGCGUAGGCGGCGCGGUAAGUCGGGUGUGAAAUCUCGGAGCUUAACUCCGAAACUGCAUUCGAUACUGCCGUGCUUGAGGACUGGAGAGGAGACUGGAAUUUACGGUGCAGCGGUGAAAUGCGUAGAUAUCGUAAGGAAGACCAGUGGCGAAGGCGGGUCUCUGGACAGUUCCUGACGCUGAGGCACGAAGGUCAGGGGAGCAAACGGG
rnacentral:rRNA from 1 species